GCAGCACGGUAGCAAUACUGGUGGCGACCGGCGCACGGGUGCGUAACGCGUAUGGAACUUGCCCUUUACUGGGGAAUAGCCCGGAGAAAUUCGGAUUAAUACCCCAUGUUAUAUUAGAUUGGCAUCAAUUUAAUAUUAAAGAUUUAUCGGUAAAGGAUAGUCAUGCGUAUGAUUAGCUAGUUGGUGGUGUAAUGGACUACCAAGGCUACGAUCAUUAGGGGUUCUGAGAGGAUGAUCCCCCACACUGGUACUGAGAUACGGACCAGACUCCUACGGGAGGCAGCAGUAGGGAAUAUUGGUCAAUGGACGAGAGUCUGAACCAGCCAUGCCGCGUGCAGGAAGAAGGCCCUCUGGGUUGUAAACUGCUUUUGACUAGGGCCAAAAUACUCAUGCGUGAGGAAUUGAGAGUACUAGUAGAAUAAGCACCGGCUAACUCCGUGCCAGCAGCCGCGGUAAUACGGAGGGUGCAAGCGUUGUCCGGAUUUAUUGGGUUUAAAGGGUGCGUAGGUGGCUAUUUAAGUCAGUGGUGAAAGUCUGCAGCUUAACUGUAGAAUUGCCAUUGAUACUGAAUAGCUUGAGUACUGAUGAGGUAGGCGGAAUUGAUAGUGUAGCGGUGAAAUGCAUAGAUAUUAUCAAGAACCCCGAUUGCGAAGGCAGCUUACUAAGGAGUUACUGACACUGAGGCACGAAAGCGUGGGGAUCAAACAGGAUUAGAUACCCUGGUAGUCCACGCCGUAAACGAUGAUUACUCGAUGUGUGCGAUAACAGUACGCGUCCCAGCGAAAGCGUUAAGUAAUCCACCUGGGGAGUACGACCGCAAGGUUGA
rnacentral:rRNA from 1 species